GACAGAGGUGCCGAGCGUUAGGCGGAAUCACUGGGCUUAAAGCGUGUGUAGGCGGAUCGUUAAGUACCUUGUGAAAUCCCAUGGCUCAACCAUGGAACUGCUUGGUAUACUGGCGGUCUUGAGCCAGCUAGGGCUACCGGAACAAAUGGUGGAGCGGUGAAAUGCGUAGAUAUCAUUUGGAACGCCAAUGGUGAAAACAGGUAGCUGGGGCUGUGCUGACGCUGAGACACGAAAGCCAGGGGAGCGAACGGG
rnacentral:rRNA from 1 species